UCAUAGAAUUUUUUCAUAUUCAGGAUGUCGUAAGGGAAAAUAAUGAUAAUACCUUACUAUGAGUGUCGUCCAAAUCUGGUGCCAGAAGACUCGGUAAGACCAGAGACGCAAACGUUAAUCAUCAUAAACAGGCGUAAAGGGUUUGUAGGCAGCUUUUAUAAAAAUAUCAAAAACUAAACUAAAAGCUAGAAUCAAAAAGAGGUUAUAGUGUAUAACGCCUAGAGGAGGGCUGAUAUCCAUAGAUCCUAGGCAGAAUACUCAGGGCGAAGGCCACUCUCCACUAAUGAUUGACGCUGAGAAACGAAGGUUAGGGUAGGAAAUAGGAUUAGAUACCCCGGUACUCCUUUCUGUAAACGAUGAAUGGUAGUCAUUAGUUAAAUUAAAGUAACUAGAGGCGAAGUUAACACAAUAACCAUUCCGCCUUGUGAGUACUACUGCAAAGUAGAAAACAAAAAAAUUAGUCGGUCUCGAAGCAAACGGAGUGAAGCAUGUUAUUUA
rnacentral:rRNA from 1 species